GAUGAACGCUGGCGGCGUGCUUAACACAUGCAAGUCGAACGGUGAAGGCGGAGCUUGCUCUGCUGGAUCAGUGGCGAACGGGUGAGUAACACGUGAGCAAUCUGCCCCUGACUCUGGGAUAAGCGCUGGAAACGGCGUCUAAUACUGGAUACGAGCUGCGAAGGCAUCUUCAGCAGCUGGAAAGAAUUUCGGUCAGGGAUGAGCUCGCGGCCUAUCAGCUUGUUGGUGAGGUAAUAGCUCACCAAGGCGUCGACGGGUAGCCGGCCUGAGAGGGUGACCGGCCACACUGGGACUGAGACACGGCCCAGACUCCUACGGGAGGCAGCAGUGGGGAAUAUUGCACAAUGGGCGGAAGCCUGAUGCAGCAACGCCGCGUGAGGGACGACGGCCUUCGGGUUGUAAACCUCUUUUAGCAGGGAAGAAGCGAAAGUGACGGUACCUGCAGAAAAAGCGCCGGCUAACUACGUG
rnacentral:rRNA from 1 species